GACGAACGCUGGCGGCGUGCUUAACACAUGCAAGUCGAACGGUGAAGCGCCUUCCUUUUUGGUGGGUGUGGAUGAGUGGCGAACGGGUGAGUAACACGUGAGUAACCUGCCCCCUUCUUCUGGAUAACCGCAUGAAAGUGUGGCUAAUACGGGAUAUUCUGGGUCUGUCGCAUGAUGGGUCUGGGAAAGAUAUUGUUUCGGUGGGGGAUGGGCUCGCGGCCUAUCAGCUUGUUGGUGGGGUGAUGGCCUACCAAGGCGGUGACGGGUAGCCGGCCUGAGAGGGUGGACGGUCACACUGGGACUGAGACACGGCCCAGACUCCGACGGGAGGCAGCAGUGGGGAAUAUUGCACAAUGGGCGCAAGCCUGAUGCAGCGACGCCGCGUGAGGGAUGGAGGCCUUCGGGUUGUGAACCUCUUUCGCCAGUGAAGCAGGCCUGCCUCGUUUGUGGGUGGGUUGACGGUAGCUGGAUAAGAAGCGCCGGCUAACUACGUG
rnacentral:rRNA from 1 species